rnacentral:rRNA from 1 species
UACAGAGGUCUCAAGCGUUUGUUCGGAUUCAUUGGGCGUAAAGGGUGCGUAGGCGGCGCGGUAAGUCGGGUGUGAAAGUCUUGGAGCUUAACUCCGAAACUGCAUUCGAUACUGCCGUGCUUGAGGACUGGAGAGGAGACUGGAAUUUACGGUGUAGCGGUGAAAUGCGUAGAUAAUCGUAAGGAAGACCAGUGGCGAAGGCGGGUCGUCUGGACCGGAUACUGACGCUGAGGAGCGAAAGCCAGGGGAGCAAACGGG